rnacentral:misc_RNA from 1 species
ACAUCCUUGUCCUCAAGGAUGAAGAUUAAGGAAACCACAUUUUUGAACUGUCAACCCAGCACUUUAGUGUCUUGUCCUUGUUGCUCUCAUUAGUCUUGAUGGUACGCAAGCCAGUUUUUCUGUUCUCUGUGCCCUAGCAAGUCCAGCAUUGUCUGUAGAACUUUGAAGUUUUAACCCAGGAUUUCAACUCGCUUCUAUUUGCACAAACGUCAAUUUCAUUGUUUGUCUUCUCCUUUUCUCGUAUUCAUUCUCCUUGAGAAUUUUGGGAUCAUUCAAAUUCAAGCCAAAAUCAUCACCGCCCGCAUCAAAGUCACAGCAAUCACCCAAAUUAAAAUCACGGCAGCCAUCAUAGGACUUAAAUUUUCUUUUUCCGCUAGCCCUUUUCCCUUUUCUUCUCAAAUUUUCUCUCAGCAAAAGGAAGGUUAUUGAUGUAAUUUGCAAAAUAUAGUUUGUGAACUGUUUGAUUACAACUGUAGGAGGAGGGGAAUUCUUUGUUAUUGAUAAUACCCAUACAACUGUAAGAGGAGGAGGAAGGGGGAGAAUAGAAGUUGAGGAGAUUUUAGGGAAUUCUUUGAUAUUGAUCAAUACCCCCACAACUGUUACAAAUUCUAUUCUAUAACUAGAACCCAGAGUGAAAACGUCAAAAGGAGUCCACUUUAUUUCUUAUAGCUUUUUAUUUUGUUUUGCACUUAUAGCCUAUAAGGUGCAACUAAUUUAAGUAUUCAAUACUAUAAUCUUAGCAUUUCCCCUUUCUUUUUGGCGUUCCAAGAAGCAAUAUUGCCUCUGAUUAAAGGGUAUCAUCAUAAUUUCAUAAAACACCAAUGGUUUGAAUCCACAGUUUAUUGGUGAUACACUCCUGUGAGUAGCCUGAACCACUGGUUCUGGUUUCUGGAACCAGGGACCCAAGACCAGGCCUCGAGGUCCUCUGGUUUUGGUUCGGUUCCAGUUUUGAUCAAAUCCAAAAAUUGAAAAUUUUUUUCAAUUCCUUUUCUUUAAAAAAGAAAAAGCCAGUUAUGGUCUGGUUCAAGAGGAGAAAGAAAACAGUCUGGUUUUGGUGUCAGGAUAGACUGGUCUGGAACAUCUGUAUUAAUAUCAUUUUAUAAUA